rnacentral:rRNA from 2 species
ACGGGAGGCAGCAGUCGGGAAUAUUGCGCAAUGGAGGAAACUCUGACGCAGUGACGCCGCGUAUAGGAAGAAGGUUUUCGGAUUGUAAACUAUUGUCGUUAGGGAAGAUAAAAGACUGUACCUAAGGAGGAAGCUCCGGCUAACUACGUGCCAGCAGCCGCGGUAAUACGUAGGGAGCAAGCGUUAUCCGGAUUUAUUGGGUGUAAAGGGUGCGUAGACGGGAAGACAAGUUAGUUGUGAAAUCCCUCGGCUCAACUGAGGAACUGCAACUAAAACUAUCUUUCUUGAGUGUUGGAGAGGAAAGUGGAAUUCCUAGUGUAGCGGUGGAAUGCGUAGAUAUUAGGAGGAAUACCAGUGGCGAAGGCGACUUUCUGGACAAUAACUGACGUUGAGGCACGAAAGUGUGGGGAGCAAACAGGAUUAGAUACCCUGGUA